rnacentral:rRNA from 1 species
ACGAACGCUGGUCCCGUGCUUAACACAAGCAAGUCGAACGAUGAAGCCCUUCGGGGUGGAUUAGUGUCGACUGGGUGAGUAACACGUGGGCAAUCUGCCCUUCACUCUGGGACAAGCCCUGGAAACGGGGUCUAAUACCGGAUACGACUGCGGAAGGCAUCUUCUGCGGUGGAAAGCUCCGGCGGUGAAGGAUGAGCCCGCGGCCUAUCAGCUUGUUGGUGGGGUAAUGGCCUACCAAGGCGAUGACGGGUAGCUGGCCUGAGAGGGUGGUCAGCCACACUGGAACUGCGACACGGUCCAGACUCCUACGGGAGGCAGCAGUGGG